CCGCGUAGACACAAACCGCCUGGGUCACCAUAAAGCCACUCUUCGGGGAAAUGCUCCACAAGGCGAAAGGACACCCUGCUGUCGCGACCUUGCCUCUUGACCCCUGCCAUAGGGAGAUAGAGCACAAGAUCGCAACCGAAGGUCGCGAACGUCACUCAGGUGGGAGUGGCUCAAGGCAUAAAAACACAGAAUCAAGAGCAAACCAUGAAAAAAAAAACUAGAAUAAAUCCAUUCAACAGACAAAUGUUAAUUCAAAAGUACAAUCAUCUCAUUCAUUAAUUAUUCAAAAGUUCUUACAAUUCCUUCAAGGCACUACUGGCCCAAAAUACACAAAAUAGAAUAUACAUCGUAAUGGUGAGACCACCAACACAUACUAGGAAGGUCUUCGUAAGACGACUUUUCAAACGUCUCAACUUCAAGCUUGAAACCCCCAAACGGCUACUCUCCUAUAGAACAAAUGCCAACGCCCUUCACUCUACAGUUAUGUAAUAAGACGAAAUGAGCAAACAGCCCAGUAAGCAAAUCUACACUAUUGCAUUCCAACUAGUAUAUCAGUGGUAACAAUAUGCAAUGUACACAUAUUCACAACGUAUCAAGUGAAGUCCUCUAAUAUGUUUUCCAAUAUUCUAACGAUAUUAUGAUGAAAUAGUCUAAUAUACAGCACAUGAGUCAUAAAUCACUCCAUUAUAGACAAUAUAGUAGGGGCAACAGAACAUAGUUACAAAACUAGUAAAGCCUACUCUCGAAGUAGAAGUUCCAUUGCUCAGGUUAAGCCAAUUCUGUCGCUUGAAACCUCUUCCCUCGUUCAGGAGGAAGGACAAUGACAAGUAGGUGCAUCACUUCUUAAUGCCCUCACACACACACACAUCCCCAGUGCCCUUUGGGGUUUUCGAUAAGCAGUGGCCUUGAAAGACACGACCCUCUCCAUAUGCCCUUCUGGUGAGAGAGUGUUACACUACUAUUGGGUGACCCAAUGCGUGGCGCCCGUAUAGAUCUGGGGGGCACAACCCUCCCAAAUAUUCACAUCCUGACUCCCAUCCUAUCAUGGGGAGUUAGGGAAAGAUCUUAGCUGUCAACACCAUCAUUCACACAGUAGGUGCCCAAUCACAUAUGCUAUAUAAGCAACACGGUACCAUCAUCCACGCAGUAGGUACCCACUCACAUUACACAUAAACAGAACGGAACCAUCAUUUACACAGUAGGUACCCAUUCACAUUACACAUAAACAACACGGUAUCGUAAUUCACACAGUAUGUGCCCAAUCACAUAUGUCACAUAAGCAGCAUUAUUAUCACAUUAUAAUGAUAUCAGUAGCUCAACAAGACAGUAGCAAUUUCACAUUAUGAUGGUGGCAUAUCACAUUUAAACAGUAUCACAAUGACAGUACCAUAGUAAUAGUAACAUUAUUCAAGUUAAGCCUUACUGCGCAAUUUCUUGCCAUCAAGGGCAAUGACGUGCGCUUACCAUUAGGGUCGUAACUUGUGGACUGUUUAGAGUUUAAAGACGGAUCCAAAACUAAUUUUGAACUAAACACACCUAUCGUUCAAAUAGGAUGGUUUUAAGACAAUUGGACCUCGUUUGACCUCUUAAAGGUUCAAAGAGGUGAGGGUUUACCGGCUGCACCCUGUGGUAAAUAGGGGACAGUGGCAUACCCUGCUUCAUAUCACUAUAACUCCCAAACCGUGAAGGAACUUGUGACAGUUUCAAAAUCAAAGUUUAAGCCAAUACAUAUAUAUUUCUAACAAAGCUAAUUUGAAAGCAUUUAGAUUCCAUUUGUUGGUACAAAGAUUCAUACCAAACAAGGUGAUAGUUCUUAAUUUUAUCAACACUGCCCACAGUGACAUACCUUCAUAAAACGAAGUAUAACUUUCAAUAUAAGAAGAAUUUCAAAACAUUUUCUCAUGAAAAUUUUAGCCCAUUCAAAGAUAUUUCAAACAACUAUAGUUUGACAAAAAAUGGACAUCUUUUGGUUAGUUAAAAUCAAUGACGAUAGUAGCAUUAGUGGAAAAAUCUAGGAAAACAGUCAACAAUGAUAUACCCUCUCAUUUCGAAACAUAACUUCAUUUUCAUAAAGAAUUUCAACAGUGGAAAAAAAUGAACAUUUUUACUAUACUCACACAUCUUUCCAAUGGCAGUGAUUUUAAGUAAAUCAGACGCCAUUCGACUGUUGAAAAGCCUUUUUCAAGAAGACACAUAUUUUCGGAAUUUCACAGUAGCAUAUAACAUGUCUCAAGAACACAUUCCAUGACCUUCAUUCCAGGGUGAAGAACAUGAUAGUAACUAUUCUCUCACAAUGUACACACAUAACAUGCAUUUCUUACAUAAUCUAAGAAUCAUACAUUCAUUCUCAACAUCCGCCAUUAUCAUAGAACAAAAGUCCCAAUUUUCAGUGAAUAAGACAAGGAUUUUCUACAUCACAUACACUUUCAUUUCUCAUUUCACAUGCAUAAAUUCACAUGCAUCCUUAUAACUAUCCACUUACAUGAACAACAAUGGUGCCUUCUCCAAUCCUCUUCUCACAGCUCUCACCCGCCUAACAAUGGCUCCCCUCCAACAGUCACUUCUUCAAACCUUGUACCUUAGAGAGAGAGAGAUGAAGUAAGAAUAAGUGGCUUAGGUGAGAGAAGAGGCUUAAGUACUCUUGUGUUUGAGGUGGCUGACAAGUGUCACCAAGAGGCUCAAAAUUCUGGACAAGUGGCUCUCAAAUCAGCAUGCAUUUAACAAGUGGCACUCAUAAUCCAUGCAGGUCAGAAACACAAUCGCCGCAACACAGCCGGCGCUACGUACACAGUGACACAGCCGGUGCUAGGCACUCAACACAGCCGGCGCUGGUCUCUUCACAGCCUGUGCUGCACACAACACAGCCGAUACUACACACUCAACAACACCGCCGGCAGAAACACACUCGGCGAUAGCAUACUUCACAACAUAGCCGGCGCUCCUUCCUUGACGCGUGUGGUGUUGCGCUCUUCAUUGCCGCAUGCUCUACUAUCUUUCCUUCCUCCUUAUCCUGCCAUGCACUCUAACUGACGGGGAAAAAUCAGGGUUGUCACUCAUUCCCCUCUAAAAAAUGAUUUUGUCCUCAAAAUCGUUAAUCGAAUAAAUGGGGGGAGUACAAGGCCCAGAUUUCAUCUUCUCACUCCCACAUUGAUUCUUCCCUCUAAUGAUACUGCCAUAAAACCCGAACUAGAGGAAUCUCUUUGUGACGCAAUAUCUGAAUUCUUCUAUCCGGUAUCUCAAUAGGUUGUUCUAUAAUCGUUAAAUCCUCCCUGAUUGAGAUUGGCUCAUACUCCAAAACGUGGGAUGGAUCGGGCUGAUACAUUCUCAAUAAUGAUACAUGAAACACAUUAUGGAUAUUAGCUAGCUCGGGUAGUAGGGCCAAUCGAUAUGCCACACCUCCAAUCCUUUCUAAAAUCUCAAAGGGCCCAAUAAAUUGUGGACCCACUUUCCCCUUCUUACCAAAUCUCAUUAUGCCCUUAGUUGGUGAUACCUUCAGAAAAACCCGAUCACUCACUUCAAAUUCAAGGUCCCUUCUCUGAUUGUCGGCAUAACUCUUCUACCGACUUUAGGCUAUCUUGAGCCGCUCUCGAAUUAAGGAAUAUUUUCUGAGGUUACUUGAACAAUCUCUGGCCCUAAAAGUUUUCUUUCAGGGCGUGAGCUCGAUGAGCACAAUGAUUUGGAAGGAUCGUUGGUGUGCCCUUUGACCACGUGACCUCAAGAAGAAAUAUUUGACGUUUACCUACUCCUCGAAGGAUAGGCAAUGCCAGACUGUCUACUUCUUGCCACUCACAUGUCCCUCAAAAGACAGGGAAUGCCAAAGAGGGCCAACUGUAGACGCCCCAUUUUAAAUAUGGCAAAUGCUAUGAUUCCUGAACCUUUAAAAUCACACUUAACUUAGUAAACCCAAAUCCAUAGUUCACACAACCUAUCUUGUGACCCGAAACCAGUCCGCCUGCCCAAAACCCUGCAGAAACCCUGUUUUGACCCAAAUUCCUGUGAAUGCCCUGUUUUACCAAAACAAUAAUUACAAAUAGUAAAAAAAUCUGUUUUGACCCAAAUUUUCUCUAAGAGCUUCACAAGAGGCUGAGAACACACUCAAAGUUUAAAAAUUCAAUUUUGACCAAGUUUGACACAAGCGACACUAGCCGUGUCGCCCAGCCUAAACUAGGCGAGACCGCCUAGUGUAGCCCAGAUUUGAGCGCCUAGAUCUGAGACCCUAAAAAUGCUUAUUUUUGGAUGGGGAUGCGUUUGUUACGUGCAUAUAUCCUUCCCAGGGGAUUUAAACCCUAUGAAGCCUCUUUUCGUGGCCAUUUGACAGGGGGCAGAGAUCAAAAACCUGAGAGAUAGCUUCAGAAAACCCUAGCCUCCUGACACCCUAACCCUUAAGCCUGAGGAAACCUAGACCUAAGCCACAACAACCCUAGAUCAAAACUAGACUUAGGGCACAACCCUAUAUCAGAACUAGACUUAGGGCACAAUAACCCUAGAUUUAACCCUUUACACCAGAUACUUAUUGGUCGACAUCCGAAUCAGAGAGGCAAAAGAGGACCGGUUCUGAUACGAGCAAGCCCUAGAAGGCUCGGGAGUCUUGGGCCAUCCGGCCCGGUUCGGCAUCAUUUCCUUAUAUUUUACUUCUUUUAUUUUAUUGUUUUCAUUUCAUUUUAAUCUUUUCAUUUGCUUAAAAAUUGUAUUUUGUAAUGCCUUGGAUCAUGCUGGCGCUACCAUAGAUCUAAGAGUAGAUCUGCUCGUUUCCAAGCAGAUCUGGCCUCAGAUCAGAAUUCGAUUUGUCCUAUAUUCUUUACCACUUUAUUUCUUUCAUUUUCAUAAGUUUAAGGUGUUCAAAUUCGACAGAUCUUCAUCUGAGAUCUAUCAUAUUUUCAUCAUAAAUAGUUACGAUUAAUUAUUACUCGUUCGUUACGGUUAGCUAACUCCAUGAUAGCUAUCACCCAUGAGUUGCAAUCAAUUAUCGCCUGUAAGUUGCAAUCAACUAUCGCCUGUAAGUUGCAGUCAACUAUUGUUCAUAAGUUGCAAUCAACAAUCGCUCAAGAGCUGCAGUCAACUAUCACUCGUUAGUCGUAGUUAACUGUCGCUCGUAAGUUUCAGUUAACUGUCGCUCGUAAGUUGAAAUUAACUAUCGCUCGUAACUUGUAGUUAACUAUCGCUCGUAAGUUGCAGUUAACUAUCACCCGUGAGUUACACUAUUCACCGUCUCUUAAGCCUUUAUAGAAAUUUUCACAAAAUUUCGGCAAAGCUUCCGCAUGAGGGUUUGAAUCCCAAAAGAAAUCUCGUAUGCCCAAUUAAUCGAAAGUCAAGUCGGGGCAAGAGCCCGCAGCUAUGAAUAAGAUUAAAGAAGCGGGUUUGGUUUUCUUCCUUAUGCCCAAUUAAUUGAAAGUCAUGUCGGGGCAAAAGCCUAGAAUAGUGACUAACAUUAAAGGAGCGGGACUUGUUUUCUUCCUUACUCGUCCUACAACCACUCGGUUUGCUAUACUGUAAAAUGAUAAUAGGAAAGACCAAGAGGCGAGAGAAACAUGCUUUGAUACCACUUAUUGAGCUCACCCAGUUAAAGCCGUCUCACACAAAUGCGGAUGCGUGGAACGGGUCCAGGAAAUAUGGGAAGCAAAAUGUAAGCCACAAUCGAUGUGUGUGUUUGAGUGGGAAAAAAAGCAAUAAAGCAAGUAAAUCUUACUGGCACCGGAUUUACUUUAUUCACCUUUUCAGGCUACGUCCACGGGAGAAAGGAGAUCAAUCCACUAUAAACUUCACAGCUUACAAUGGUCAUCCAAGAAAACAACCUUUCUUGGGUUCUCUAGUUUCUUCUAAAGAUUUUCUCUCUAAGUUUUCUUCUCUAAAGUUUGUCUUUCUUUCAGAGGCUUAUUUUCUUUUACAGAAGUUUUCUCUCUUUAAAAGAAAAAAUUAUCCCUUCUCUCUUCUCUCUCUCUCUCUCUUCUUCUCCUUCUUCUUAUUUGCAAAAGAAUGAUCUCUAUAUUUUUCCCAAUACAAUCAAGAAGAGUCAACCAUCUCUCUCUCUCUUCUUCUCCUCAGAAGGAGGCUUCCUGUAUCUCUGAUUCAUCAAGAAGAGUCCGCCCAAAAAUGGCCCAAAAAGGUGGCUUUGGCUAAACCAACCAAAAGCUACCUAGCCUCUCAUGUAAUUUGUAUCUGUAUGGACUCAAAGGGAUAACAACUAAAUUAGAAAUGUAUCCAUAACCUCCUAAAAAGGAGGUCUAUCUCUCUCUCCCUUUAUGGAAAGAGAUAUGAGAACAUUUUCCCAUACUAAAACAAAUGUGAGAACCUUAUUUUGUGGUAUGGUGACUUGGUCAACAAGUCAUCUCUUCCACAUUCUAAGACUACCUUUUUAAGUAGGGACAAUACCAUUGGUGUCCAUCUCUCAUGGGAUGGGACACCCAACAAGUUCAACUCUAAUCCAUUUCACCAAGUAUUUUGAUCCUUGAUAUAAAAUAAUUGGUGCAAUAUCAUAAUUGUCAUUGCCCAAAGUGACUCCUAAAAUAAAUUGCCUACAUGCUACAAGUACACAUUCUACAAAGCAAAUCCAAAUUUUAAGGCGAAACAGGGGGUCAAGGGAGCAUAUUCAACAUGUAUGGUCUUAUGAUUGCACUCGUUGUCUUGAGAUACUAAAACCACAUAGAUAUAAAUAUGGAGACUUAUGGCUUCACUGAGGGUAUGGUCCUUAAUCGAGUAGAAUGACAGACUAGGAUUCGUUUAGCAGAUCUCAAAUAGUUGGGAAAACGCUCUAAUGAUGAUGAUCAUAAUGAUGUCUCUAAUCCUGACUCCUGAUUCCAAAAUUAUACCAUUUUGAAAGUACGGAUCUCAAUUUGCAACUUUGAGGCUAAAAGCUAGCAUUGUAAAGCUGAGGUUGCAACCAUUAUUUGCACGGCUGCACAACACAUCUUAGAGCUGCACAUGCAUUCUCUAUGCGGGCUUGGAUAUACAUGUUGGCCACAUUAGUUCCGCAUAGCCACAUCCGUGCAACCAUAUGGGUGCAUUGAAGUUGUAUGCUAUGUGCAAGCAACAGCAGCUGCAUGUAGUAUGGUGCAGCCUCUAGUCAGCCCCUCACAUGUAUGCUAGUUGCACGUGUAUGCACCUCCAUAUAUGUAAUGUGCUUACACAUGCACAUGCAACAAUAGAAAGUGUGAUGCUCCAUGCCCACCACAAGGGAUCACUAUGCUAGACAAGGUAGUAGGGCUGUGUGUAGCACCAGCGUACGAUGGCUGUAUGGUCUACAAGAUUACCAUGCUAGAUCACAUGGUCUAGUGUGUCUUUGUGCAAGCACCUAGAUCACGCUCACCACUCUAGUGUGGUCCUCGAGUGGAGCCUUGCAACCAAAGUGUAGGAAUGCACAUUUUGUGCACACUCGAACAUAUGCAUCCGUGCCCCAUGAACCCCCAGCACAUAAUAUACUGCCCCCACACCCACUAACUACUCGAUACUCCCUUUUUAGAAUUCAAGAAUUCGAUGCAAGCUCCCUUAGGUUGGCUUCAUGAUUGUUAGAACCAGCGUUUUAAAAAACGCCGAGUCAAACCGGACUCGCCCGGUUCGACUCGAAAAUAGUGAAAAAAGAACCGGAUCGUCCAAAAAUCGGAAAUCGUCCGGUUCUAGAGAGAACCGGACGAUUCUGUACAGUGAAUCGCCGAUUCACUGUAUGGAAUCGGCGAGUCCAAACAGUGAAUCGACGAUUCCGUACGGUAUUUUUUUUUUUUUUUUUUUUUUUUUGGUAAUCCAUGAUAGAUUUUUUUGUAAUACUUGAUCGANNNNNNNNNNNNNNNNNNNNGGUAAUCCAUGAUAGAUUUUUUUGUAAUACUUGAUCGAUUUUUUUGUAAUCCAUGAUCGAAUUUUUUGGUUUUUUGUAACCCAUAAUAGAAUUUUUUGUAAUCCAUGAUCGAAAUGUUUGUUUUCUUUUCUUGUAAUCCAUGAUCGAUUUUUUUGUUUUUUUUGUUUUUUUUUGUAACCCAUGAUAGAAUUGUUUGUAAUCCAUGAUCGAAUGUUUUGUAAUACAUGAUCGAAAUGUUUGUUUUUUUUUUGUAAUCCAUGAUCGAAAUGUUUGUUUGUUUUUUUUUAAUCCAUGAUUGAAUUUUUUGUUGUUUGUUUUUUUUGUAACCCACGAUAGAGUUUUUUAUAAUCCAUGAUUGAAUUUUUUGUAAUCCAUGAUCGAACUAUUUUUUUCUUUUUUUGUAAUCCACGAUUGAAUUUUUUGUUUUUUUUGUAAUCCAUGAUCGAAUUUUAUGUAAUUCAUGAUCGAAUUUUAUGUAAUCCAUGAUCGAAUUUUAUGUAAUCCAUGAUUGAAUUUUUUGAAAAUUUGUGAUUUUUUUUGUUUAAUCCAUGAUCGAAUUUUUUUUGUAAUCCAUGAUAGAACUUUUUGAAAAUUUGUGAUUUUUUUUUUAAUCCAUGAUCGAUUUUUUUGAAAAUUUGUUUUUUUUUUUUUAAUCCAUAUUAUUCAAAGAGAAAACGAGAGAGAUGAUGAUUCUGAGGCCACCCUAUCUCAGCCAUAUUAUUCACAUAUCGAGUCCCAAUAGCAACAGUGUAGGGAUGAGCACGAAAUACUGUAAAUUAAAUGCUGAAUGGCGGUUCAUGCAGGGAAAGAACAUAUCAAUAUUCGCAUAUUCAUUCAAAAACAUGAAAAUUCUUAAUGGAGUACCCUCAUUUUUUAUUGAAUUCCUAAAAACCAAUAUUUAUAAUGAAUUUUAAUAAUUUUUUCGAAUUUUUUUUAAGCUUUAUUCUGAACGAUUCACCCGAUUCCCGAUCCGGAUCGUCGAUUCACCGAUCCGGAUCGGUUUUUUGGAAGCCUGAUCCGGGUCACCGAUCCGUUUUUUAAACCAUUGGUUAGAACUAUGGGGUAUUAUUUCACAAUGAAAUCCCCUUAGAGUUUUUAAAUUGCGAAUAGGGUUUUUCCUUUUCUAGGGUUUCUAAGGAGAAAAUAAGGAGGAGAGAGGGUGGUGGGUCUAGAGCAUAGUUUGCAAUUCGGCUAUUAAUCGCCGAAUUUUUUAAAAAAUCAGAGAUUUUUUUAAAAACGUUUUACACACCGCCUUUUUGAAAAGUUGGCUAAAAAAAGCGCGCGUCUUUCAUAUAACCGUUAAAAACGCGUUUUUUAUGAGGAAAUAAAGAAACGAGGGUUUUUUUUUUUUACUUGCCAGUUUUUAGAAAGAAAAACAACUAUUUUCCUAAUCUAUCUAAUUUCUAAAAGAACAAAUUAUUUCCACAAAAAAAAUUCCGAAAAUAAAAGGUACGAUUUUUUUUUUUUUCUUCUUAAUUUCAACAUGAUGCAUAUUUCAGUGGUUAUUUUGCUAAAAAAAUACUGUGUAGAGCAUGAUUUCAAUACCCUGCAAAAAUUGUGUGCAGCAAGAAAAUACUGUGUGCAUCAAGAAAAUACAGUGUGCAGUAUGAUUUUGCAAAGAAAAUAAUUUGUCUUACAAAUACCUUAUCAGACUAAAUGCUUCAUUUGCCCUUUCGAUUUAGCUGCUGAAACGCUUCCUUUGCCCUUUCGAUUUAGCUGCUGAAACGCUUCCUUUGCCCUUUCGAUUUAGGGUUUACCUUCUGGGUUUCCUCUUCCACUUCGUAGAGUUCGUCAUUCGAUUUAGGGUUUACCUUAUUUGGAAAACAGGGGAGAUAGAGAGAGAGAUAUGCGACCAUAUAUUGUUCACCUUCUUUGAAAAACUGUGAUUACCUUCGAAAGCCAGGGGAGAUGAGUUCGCUACUCCACCUUUGCUCCCUCGAUUUACUGCCUUCC
rnacentral:lncRNA from 1 species